GAUGAACGCUGGCGGCGUGCCUAAUACAUGCAAGUCGAGCGCACAGACGAGACGCUUGCUCCCUUCACGUUAGCGGCGGACGGGCGAGUAACACGUGGAUACCCUACUUAUCUGCCUGGGAUAACUUCGGGACACCGGAGCUAAUACCGUAUUAUAUCUUGAAACUCAUGAUUCCAUAGUGAUUGAUGGUUUUGCUCAAUUUCAUAGCUGCCUCCGCGUCGCAUUAGCUAGUUGGUAAGGUAACGGCUUACCGAGGGAACGAUGCGUAGCAGACCUGCGAGGGUGUUCGGCCACACUGGAACGGAGACACGGUCCAAACUCCAACGGGAGGAGGCGGUAGGGAACCUUCGGCAAGGGGCGAAGUCCUGACGAAGCAACGCCGGGUGGUGAAGGAGGGUCUUCGGUUCUUAAAACUCGGUGAUUAGGAAAGAACAGUUGUGGAAGGAAAAGUGCACGUCUUGACGGUACCUAAUCAGAAAGCCACGGCUAACUACGUG
rnacentral:rRNA from 1 species